UGGGGGAUAUUGCACAAUGGGCGAAAGCCUGAUGCAGCGACGCCGCGUGGGGGAUGAAGGCUUUCGGGUUGUAAACCUCUUUCGCUAUCGAACAAGGCCCGCUUAGGGUGGGUUGAGGGUAGGUGGAGAAGAAGCGCCGGCUAACUACGUGCCAGCAGCCGCGGUAAUACGUAGGGCGCGAGCGUUGUCCGGAAUUAUUGGGCGUAAAGGGCUUGUAGGCGGCUUGUUGCGCCUGCUGUGAAAACGCGGGGCUUAACUUCGCGCGUGCAGUGGGUACGGGCAGGCUUGAGUGUGGUAGGGGUGACUGGAAUUCCAGGUGUAGCGGUGGAAUGCGCAGAUAUCUGGAGGAACACCGAUGGCGAAGUCAGGUCACUGGGCCAUUACUGACGCUGAGGAGCGAAAGCAUGGGUAGCGAACAGG
rnacentral:rRNA from 1 species